rnacentral:tRNA from 1 species
GGGGAUAUGGCUCAGUGGCACAGCGCCUGCCUGGCAAGCACAAAGUCCUGAGUUCAACUCCUGGUGCCUCUU